GCUCCAGCCACUGGAACACUGUAAACCGUGGUGUUGAAAGAGUCUGACACAGACCGGCCAGUAUUUCCAGGCAUGGCACCUAGAAACCUGGAGUGAGCGUAGGCUGGUACGAGGAGCCGAGUCCAGGGGCCAUGCUCUACUUACCUCUGCUCUGUGCAAGCUUAAGAAGCUUAGACUGAGCCACCUGGUGGGUAUACUUUGGCAGCUGUGUGGCAGAUCUGUUACGGUGACCCAUCUGCACAGUCGACCCGGUGAACUGGCUCACAGGAGGAUUCCAACACUCACUCUCCUCCUGCAUUCGAGCCAUGAUCUGGACAUCAGUGAGGUCUUCCAGUCUGUAGUCCAUGGUAAUGGAGUCCUCUGAGGAAUGCAGUUCACUCGAAUCUUUGCUUGGCGGUGAAUACAAAGCUAGGCAGGCCUUGCUGUGAUCUGCAGUACAAAGGCAAUGAUAACACGAAUGGAUCAAGAUCAGUAACUAUUCUUACUGAGGCGCUUUUGUUGUUUUUCUUCUAUAGGACUGAUUCAUUCUCUGGCCUCCCAAUUACCUACCUAAAAAACUUACAG